CGAGCUUUCUUAAUCUUUACAAAACUAUGUAGUAUAUCACUUUUUUUUAUUGUGCAUGCCCGUGUCAGUUUUUGAGUGUCCGUCCAAGUUCCGCCGGAGCAGCAUUCUCGUUCUAAAGGAGCAACCUUUUAUACCGCAGGUGCUGCACACUUACAAGUGAGGGUCAGUUUUUGUGAGCCCGGCCAAGUUCCACUGGUGCAGCAUUCUUCUACAGGUGCAGCUUUUCAGACCCCACAUGCAGCCGCUUCGUUCCACACCUUCAAGUUCGGGUCAGUUGUUUUUCCAUCCAAGGUCCGCUGCUCCAGUAUUCUCGUUCCGCUGGUGCAGCCACUUUGUUCAGGUUCAGGUCCAGGUCAGUUUUAGUGUGUCCGUCCACGUUCCGCCGGAGCAGUCUUUUACCGCAGUGCAGCCGCUUUGUUCCACCCUUAUAAGUGAGUAUUGACAACGAUAAUAAUAGUUAUAAAACUUUAUUAUAUGAAUCUUUUGUUGUGC